CACAUCAAGGAGGAUGUGCCAAAACACCCUCGCAUAGCUCCAGCUCCAGCACUCCUAAACCGCGCGAUGGAAGCUACGGCACGCCUACCACGCCAUCGCAUGGAAGUCGCAGUGCAACCACACCAGCCACAACACCGCCCACGUCUUCUCAUGCAACAACACCGACCACGCCUUCUCAUUCAACUACACCAUCCACGCCUUCACAUACAACCACACCGGCCACACCUUCCAUCCCCGGUUUCCCAUCGAUCACUGCAACCUGCGAGUAUGCAAUGCACGCACAUCAAACGAAUAUUAAUUCGUAUAUAUAUAUAUAUAUAUAUAAGAAGGACACUAUUUGUUUUUUUAGUGUACGUACACUGCUCAUUAAUCUAUUUACUCUCUCCACUUGUAGCUUCUGGAGAACCCACCCGUCUAUGAUAUUUGGCAUACUCGGACAAUGGUCGAACAUCGGUAACUUGUUUGGAUUUCCGGCGACGAGUAUUUUUGGACGAAAUCCCAGCGUAC
rnacentral:lncRNA from 1 species